rnacentral:rRNA from 1 species
CCUACGGGCGGCAGCAGUGGGGAAUAUUGCACAAUGGGCGCAAGCCUGAUGCAGCCAUGCCGCGUGUGUGAAGAAGGCCUUCGGGUUGUAAAGCACUUUCAGCGGGGAGGAAGGCGUUAAGGUUAAUAACCUUGUCGAUUGACGUUACCCGCAGGAGAAGCACCGGCUAACUCCGUGCCAGCAGCCGCGGUAAUACGGAGGGUGCAAGCGUUAAUCGGAAUUACUGGGCGUAAAGCGCACGCAGGCGGUCUGUCAGGUCGGAUGUGAAAUCCCCGGGCUCAACCUGGGAACUGCAUUCGAAACUGGCAGGCUAGAGUCUUGUAGAGGGGGGUAGAAUUCCAGGUGUAGCGGUGAAAUGCGUAGAGAUCUGGAGGAAUACCGGUGGCGAAGGCGGCCCCCUGGACAAAGACUGACGCUCAGGUGCGAAAGCGUGGGGAGCAAACAGGAUUAGAUACCCUUGUAGUC